rfam:Pandoraea thiooxydans strain DSM 25325, complete genome.
AACCGCCGUAUGCGGAGCCGCACGUACGGUGGUGUGGGCGGGCUGAGGGGGUAACUCCUCACCCGACCCGAU